GGGAAGGAGAAAGCGGAGUAGAGAAGUGAUGGGCGAGCCCACAGAAGAGACCCUUUCUGGGAUCCUGGUGCGUGACCCCACUUGCCCGCUGGUCUCCUCCAGGAGGCUUUGGCUGUCACAGGUGUCCCCAGGGCAGUACGCUGCCAGCACUGGUCUGACAGGUAUGAGAGCCAGCGGGGAGGGCUAAAUAUGGUCUUGGCACAUGGGCUGAGUCACCUUUGGAAGGAUCUUUGCUGGAACAGGAACUGGCACACACAGAAACAGCAGCAAAACAUAAGGCCACGCUCACCUCGAAGUUAGUUCUCUGGUUCCUUGUGCAAACCCAGGACAGACCCUGUAGAAUGAGAGCGCUGCGGGCAGGGGAUUCAGAGCCCAACAGAGAGGCCUGUCGCUCUCUAAAUUAGGAAACACGCCUAUUGCUGGGGGCUUCCCAGGUGGCGCAAGGAGUAAAGAAUCCACCUGUCAAUGCAGGAGACACAAGAGAUGUGAGCUCCAUCCCUGGGCGGGGAAGAUGCCCUGGAGAAGAGAAUGGCAACGCAUUCCUGUAUUUCUUGCCUGGAAAAUCCCAUGGACAGAGAAGCCUGGCAGGUUAUAGUCCAUGGGGUCACAAAGAAUCAGACGAGACUGAGCACGCACACACCAUGCCAGAUGCUGCCUGCGGGUCUCUGGAGAUUUGAAAGGAUUGACGUCGACACCUUUAAAAAUGCGCAGAGAUCAGGAUACCGAUGCCCAGUAACACUCGGCUUUGAGAAACAGUCUGGAAGCAUCUAACAGAGCCAUUUAAAGCUCGGAGGACGUUCGCACUGUUGCUGCUGCAAUAAUUAGUGAUCAUUGACUGCCUACCAGGAUUUUGAUUCUGACUUCCGGCUUCAUAUGUCAUGGUUAUUUUUAUUUCUCUGUUUUGUUGAUGAGGAACGGAAGCUCACAGAGGUUGAGUCAUUGGCCCCAGGCCACUGCCCAUCAGGCUAAUACUUAGUGUCAACAGUCACUGCCCAUGAGGGCUGAGCUGAGCACUUCACCCUCCCCAUGAUAUAGCUGAUGCUACUCCUCCCAUCUCAACAGGAAGACUGAGGCCUGGAAGGGUCUGUGUGAGUUCUAAGCUACCUCCACUAACAAGCCCAUGCCUAAGAGCUAAUUAUGAAGCACAAACAUGGGAUUAAAACCUAAAUCUUCAAUCAAGACUUCCCUGCUGACUCAGAGGGUAAAGAAUAUGCCUGCAAAGCAGGAGACCUGGGUUUGAUCCCUGGGUAGGGAAGAUCCCUUGGAAAAGGGGAUGGCUACCCACUCCAGUAUUCUUGCCUGGGAAAUCCCAUGGACAGAGGAGCCUGGCUGGUUACAGUCCAUGGGGUUGCAAAGAGUCGGACACGACUUAGCAAUUAAACAGCAGCAGGAGGAAUGGAUUGGGAGUUUGGGAUUAGCAGAUGCAAACUAUUAUAUAUAGGAUGGAUAAACAACAAGGCCCUACUGUAUAGCACAGGGAACUCUAUUCAAUAUCCUGCGAUAAACCACAAUGGAAAAGAAUAUAAAAGAAAAAUGUAUAUAUAUACUGAACAACUUUGUCAUACAGCAGGAAGCAACUCUUUGGAAAUCAACUAUAGUUCAAUUAAAAAAAAAAAAACACAAAACUAGGCCUUCAGUGCAGAAUCUAUACUACACUGUUAUUAUUUCUCCUGCUUCAUAUUUUAAAAAUUGGAACAUAAUUGCUUUACAAUGGGCUUCCUUGAUGGCUCAGAUUGGUAACGAAUCUGCCUGCAAUGCAGGAGACCCAGGUUCCAUCCCUGGGUUGGUAAGAUUCCCUGGGAGAGGGAAUGGCAACCCACUCCAGUGUUCUUGCCUGGAGAAUCCCAUGGACAGAGGAGCCUGGCGGGCUACAGUCUGUAGGGUCACAAAGAGUCGGAUGCGACUGAGAGAAUCUCUUUCUGUGCUUUACAAUGUUGUGUUUAGUUUCUGUUGUUCAGUGAGGUGAGUUAGCCAUAUCCUCCUGAUAUCCUGAGCUGAGACUGUUCAUGCAGGUUACACAUUACAUGGUCAGCAAACUCUAAGAGCUGAGCAUUAACCAGGAUGUUUCUAAUAACUGGGCAUCUGUGCCUUUCCUAUGAGACAGACCACCUAUGUGCAAUGCUGGUCAGCGUAGGGGUUAAGCUCGGGCCUGAGUCAGUGAAACCUGAGUUCUAGCCAUACUUUGCAACUCUGGCUGUAUGACAGUGGCCAGUCCCUUACCUCCUAAGGUCUCCCCUGCCUCUCCUGGGAUAUGAACACUGCAGCUCCUGAGCCCUGGGCCGUGAGGUCCGGAGAGGUCCCAUGUGGGUGGGGCUCAGCUCUGGCUCACGGCUGUUCCACUGAGGAUGCGGAUUUGAAGGAGUGUGUUUCUCAUCACAGGCAGAGGGUCGAGCAUUGUCCACCAGUGAGGUCAGUGAGUUUUGAGCCAUUUCAGAGCAAGGCCAGCAGUGGACCCGGGAGCGUAAGCCAGCUCCAGGGACAGGGUGGAGGGGCAGCCUCUUCAUCUUGUCACACGCAGCUACACCCCCUGCAGAGUUGGGGGGGGGGGUCCCGACCACUUCCUUCAGAGGCGCACCGCCCUUGAGAAAGGGGUCCAGCCACCUGAAAAAAAAUCUGCCCCGGGACCUACACCUUCCCAUCCCUCCCCACCUUAGACACCUGGCCCAUGUCCCAGGAUGGUCCCAGGCAGCAGGUAGCACGUGACCAGCCUCCUAACAGUGGCAGGCAUAAGCCAUUAUGCUCUUCCAGAAGCUUCUAUGUCCCAGACCAGUCAGCUAGUUUUGCUCUGUCCCUGGAGUUGCUGCUGUGUGUUAGUGUUAGUUGCUCAGUCAUGUCUGACUCUUUGCAACUGCAGCCCGCCAGCUCCUCUGUCCAUUAGAUUCUCCAGGCAACAAUAUUGGAGUAUGUUGCCACGCCCUCCUCCAGGGGAUCUUCGCAUCCCAGGGAUCGAACCUGGGUCUCCUACACUGCAAGCAGAUGCUUUACCAUCUGAGCCACCAGGGAAGCCCAGGGUUGCUGCUGGGCUUAUGACAAAAUCCUCCUGCUCAGGAC
ensembl:lncRNA